GGGCGGUCAUUUUAGCCUCUCCCAAGGCGGGUCAAAGACACCCAUCCUCGAGGCCGAGAAUGUCUGAAAAACGAGUCCUCGGGCGUUCAACAGCCGGUGGGAAACGGGAUGCAUCUAUUGGUUCGCACCACAGCCAAUAGUUUCCCUGCUCUCGCCAGUCUUCCCGCCCUGUUUUGCAUAUAUUCUUACUUAACAGAGUGUGAGGGGAAGGGUGUGUUUCACUGGCUGUCCAUCACAAGAGGGCGCUGUGAAUAAUUUGUCGGCUAGACCCUUGCAGCGCUGCCGCGCAUCUCCCAGAGACUUGGGAGCGGAGGACCGAAGACGGUUCCCGACGGAAGACACAGACUGCCCGGCUUCCAGUUUUGUAGAGACCCCCACACCCUGCCCCGCCCCGCCCCCUUCCACGAGGUGGUAGCAGUGAGAGCCUCCCGUAGAAAAUACACGGGAGAAAUUCAGAGUUUUAAACAAAUUGGCUGAGCAGCACCAUCUGCCCCCCACGAAGCUUGGAACAAAUAUGUACUCUUUCCAACUCAGGUCUUAUUUCGUGUGAGAAGUGUAACUUUUAUAAAGUUUAUAAAUGUCCAAGAGCACAGAGGUUGCAAGUGAAUAGAGCAGAAGGUUUCUGCAGGCAGUUAAACGUUGCAUUUGAGCUGGGGAUGAGAGAGACAGAGGCAGUUUAAGAAGACUAUUUUAUUUUGUUGAAAUCGGGUGUGUUAAGAAGAGGGAAUUUAUUUAUUUAUUUGGCCUGGAAACUACCCUAACCUGCAUUAGUUAUACAAUAUUUCAGGGCUUGUAGGAAGUCACUCCUCUCCCAGCCAUAUAUAAAUGUACGAUGUAGUUACAUUUGGAGGAAUACUAUUUAGGCUUCUGGUCUCCACACUCCAGUUGUUCAUCACAAAUACAAUUGUUACAAUGUUUGAUUUUUUAAAGUAAAAAAACACAUGUAAAUUAAGACCCAAGUUAGGACUGGCUCUGCUGCUAUCUUUUGUUGGACAGCGUGCAAGCGACAAACACGCUGCUCCCAAGCACAACGACCGUAGUUACCACCAGGGCUGUGCCCAAACAUACUGAAUCCUCUGGACAUGAAAAUGAUGUGAAUACUGCAAAAUGAAAAACAAAUCGCAACAGAGAACAAGGGAGCAGCAUGACUACUUUUGGUUACAGCACAAUUUCAUCUGAGCUUAAGUCCUAUGAACAUGAAUACUAUGGGAGCAGUAUGGAAUGGGAAACAGAGACACAUGAAGCACAAGCAAUCAACUUGAUUUCCUUAGGAUAGGAGGAGGAGAACCAAACAGUCCCUAUGAGAUGCUACUUCUUGUCCUGCACCCUCCACAACUGUGAGCUUGAUCUUUAGCCAUCACCAAGGAGACAAUGAGCACAUCAUAAUGGAGAAACAGCAGGCAAGAAGUAAGUUAUGAAGAAACUAUGCAAUUCCUUGACCAACUAAAAUAAGAUAGUGAGAGUGAAACAUGAACCAAUAGUUUAAUGGGAUGAGGCAAUGCAAGAUUUUUGGUGUUACGUACAGAAUAACGUAUUGCUUCUGCUCUAAAACAGAUGAAUUGAAAAUGAAGCAUCAGGAGUCAUAUGUAAUGUGUGGUAUUCAAUUCAUUCCUCAUUUUUAUAUGAAAAUAAUCGGGAGACAAUUAUCCCUCUCUAGUACAGUCACUUAAAUUUGAAGAGAAUGUUCUUUUGCAGUGGGGAGAAUUGUUUUACUGAUUAUUGUGAUACAUAUGUCUUGUGUGCUUGUCCUGUAAAAGCAAACAACAGACAAUCUUUUUGUAGGCCAGCAUGUUGGUUACAUGCUUUGAAAUAGUGAAGUAAUUAGGAUCUCCUCCAACCUGUUGUCCACAAAAGAAAUGUCUAAUAACAAAAGAUCAAUUCUCCAUGUGUGGCUGUUAGCACAGUGGCAUGACUUGUAAUAUUUAUCUGAUGUUGCCUCACCAUGGUCCUGAUUUGUGACAAAGUUCAAGUGGACAUGCAGCUCAAAUUAUAGAGAAUUGUUGUUGUUAAUUAUUAAUUUUAUAAAAGAUUGUGCUUAUUUUUAGUAGUGGAGGAUUGAGAUUUAAAGGUUAAUUAU